GUAGUUUCUCAUGGGCGGGGACCAAGUCUUCCUUCGUUUUCCAGAGCCAUAGAUAGGAGUAGCUUUGAUACUUGUUCUCAUCGUGUGGUCCUGGGGAAGUUACUCAGCUACUUAGAGCCGUUUCUUCAGUGUCCUGACCUUCGCAGGGCUGGCCGCAAGAGAAGUCUUGAGUGAGCUGAGGAAGAAAUGAAGCAUCAGCCACGUGCACCGCAGGUCCGCGCCCUCGCAGCUCACACAGGGGCCGCUGGCCUGCGGGUGUCCACGGCGGCCAGCGGCUCCUCCAGGGCUCCUUCCGCGGCCGGGGCCCACCAGAGUCUGCAAAUGCAAGAACUUCCCACGUCCAGUUGGCUCUCAAGAACCGCGAUGCUUGGAAAAGGAUUCCAGCCCCUACAGAUGAGUCCCCGGGGCUGUGGGGCGGGGCAGGACCCUGUCCUUCACCCCGCCCGUCCUAGGCACCGCUGAGUCCUUGCAUCAGGUGGCCACAUCACCCUCAUUUUGCCGGGUAAGGAAGCUGAGACUCAGCAUCUCGGGAGGAGACUUGGCCCGACCAUGCAAAGCUGCCAAGUAGAGGGGCCCACACUUGAAUUCAGGGGUCUGCACCUGAGGGUGAGACUGCAUUUCCGGUCCUAAGGGAAGCCCACAGGAAAGGCUUCCCUUCACAACAGAAAGCCGGAAGGAAAUGAACUUAGCUCCUGGGGCAGUGCCGCAGAGAGACUUCAUCCCUACAGCACCACAUCCGGGCUUUCUCUGCCCUCCAGGACGGGCUCUGUGCGCCUCACCUGUCAGAACAAACCCUGGACCCACCAUGGGGGAGGACUUUGGUUUGUCACAGCUGCUUAAGAGUGAACACAGCACGUGAUUGCUCCUUGGAGGCCUGGCCCUGGGACAGGUGUGCGCUUCAGCCACAGGAUAUCCUCCCUGUAGCCGCUGUGGUUCAGCAGCCAAAAUCAGUACUUACGUUUUCAGGAAUCGUCUUGUUGAAGAGUCAUUAUUAAAAAUCAAAUCAAAACAUUUUUUAAUCAUAUUAAAAACAAAGGUAAUAAAACAUCAA